CGGUGGGGUCGGGGCCUGCCGCGGGUCCCCGCGGUCGCCCUGCGGCUCCGGGGAGGCCGCCGCGGGCUUUGCCCCCGGACAUCCCAAGCCUCGACCGCUGUCGUCUCGGCGCCGUCGUCCGCCCUUGGCUGGAGCUGCCUUCGGCCAAGACCCCUUGGGGCUCCCGAGUUUUGUGCCAUUUUGCUUGUGUACCCCCUCUUCGUGCUCGGCGACAGGUGAGGAGGCCGCAGCGGAGGAGGUACGGGCUCCUGGCCAACACCGAGGACCCCCGUGACAUGGCUUUGUCCAGCGACGAGGAGACGGUCUUUGAGACGCGGAACCUGAGAUGGUAGGGCAGCCCCCCCCCCAGAUGCCACCAGGAGCCAGCGGACGCUGCAGUUCCAGUGACCUUGGGGACAGGAGAGCGGACGCCCCGCGCCUGGGGGUGCCCGCCGAAGCCCCCACUGCCUCUGGGACAGCCCGUUGCCCUGCCAGCCCCAAGCGCGCCCGUCGGAGGCCGCCUGGUGGAGGCUGCAGGGCAGAAGCCCGAGUGGCCGCGACGGCCCCGCCCAGGACUCCGAGGCACCUCAGGCUGGCCUGCGCCCGGCUGCGCCCUGCCCGCUGGAACGCCCACCAGCUUGCCCGGGAACGUCCCUGCAGGGCCAGGGGCGGUAAAUAAACACGGGGCAGGGCCUCUGCGGGCCGUGCCGACUCCACGUCCGGGUCUCCUGGCUCAGGGUACCGUGGGGGUACCCUAGAGAGGGGGCUCCUCUAGGCUGUAGGCCUCAGUUUCCCCAGCUGGGGCCAAGCUGGGCUCCGCUGGCCUCACACUCCACCCUGUCCCAGUUGUCCAGGCGUCAGGCGGGGAUAUAAAACGGGUGAGCUCACGGGGACCUUUUCCAGCUCAAGGUCUGUCUUUCUGGUUUACUGAGAACUCCUAUUCACCCAUCAAAGCCCCUGCCCCAGGGCUCCCGCCUCCUUGCCACCCUUGAGGGCUCUGUCCUCUUGGAUCCCAGACUCACUCCACCAGCCGGGGGGUCUCGGGGGGUUUCCACGGCUCCCAAGCCGCAGUGCGUGGGGUCGUCGUGAACCUGCUGCCCAGCCCUGGCCUGUGUCCCCUCCCCACGGCACACGGAGGGGAGAAGCCGGCCUGCGGCCCCCGGUCUCCCUGAGUCUGGCCAAAGUCUUUCCAGGC
rnacentral:lncRNA from 1 species